UGUCUCUGGAAGAUACUUGAAUCACAGGACUGAAUAAGGAAGAGCUGCCCUCAGCGUGGCCGGGCAACAUCUAAUCGGCUGAAAGCUUGGAUCGAAUGAAAAGGCAGAGGAAAGGUGAAUUUUCUUUUUAUCCUGGAGCUGGACACCCUGUUUCUCCUGCCUGUGGACAUCAGAAUUCUAGGCUCUGUGGCAUUUCAACUGUAAAACUUGCACUAGUAGCCAGCUGGUUUCUCAAGUCGUUGGCUUCAAAACUGAGAAGUACAGCAUUCUCUUCCCAGGUUCUGAAGACCUCAAAUGGACUGAGCCACACUACCAGCAUCCAGCAUCCAUGGUUCUCCAGUCUGCAGAUGGCCUAUUAUGGGACUUUUCAGUCUUCAUAAUUAUAUGAGAGAAAGAAAAUGAAAAGGAUUUGUAAACUAUAAAUCUCUAAACAGAUGGGAGGAAAGGAAUUGAUGAAACAAUAAAUUUAUUGAUGAAACAAUAAAAAUAAACAUAAAGAACCAAAGUUAUUCUCACAAUCACCACUCCUAACUUUUGAUGCUCCUGUCCAGAAAACUGAGCAAAAGAGUGGCUGAAGAAUAGGAAUGAUGAAGAGAAGAAGUAAAAACACCUGAGUCUUGUUCUGUUGUCCAGGCUGGAGUGCAAUGGCGUGAUCUUGGCUCACUGCAACCUCCCCGUCCCAGGUUCAAAUGAUUCUCGUGCCUCAGCCUCCCAGGUAGCUGGGAUUACAGAUUGAGUUAAAGGAGCUGUGGAAUAAAAAAAACAAAAACAAAAACAAAACAAAAAAACAGGCUAAGCUAGGAAGGUGAGUCCUUUCAAAAUAUUCUUAUAACACAAACUAUAGAUUCUUAUAUCAGGGAAAAGAGCCCUUUAAGUAUUUCAAACCAAAGGAAUCUAAUACAAGGACUUGCUUACAAA
rnacentral:lncRNA from 1 species